CAUCAACUGUAAAGGCAAAUCACUGGUGUCUGUAUAGUGAUACACAGGGUCAAAGCUCCCCAUGAGCUUUUAAUAUUGCUUAAUAUUUAAAUUUAAUAACUAAAUAUAAAUUAUUUAAUAGGAAACAGGCAAUUAUCAACACAAAAAUUACUGAUGGGAGGGAGGACUAAGAAAAUGACCACAUAUAAUUUCAAUUACUUGAUCUUUAGAAGACAUUGAAAGAUGUUUAAAAAGUAAAUUAAAAUACUUGCCCCUUAAAAAUGGCUGAUUUUAUGGAAGGGAAAUAUUAAAAAUAUUCAUUAGAAUUGUGUGAUUUAGCUUUAAAUACCCUCUUCUGUUCUCCUAGACAGACACUACUCCAGCUACUCACCACUAGUAUACCAUGUAGGUGCUGAUGCAGAUGUGUAAUAGAGUGGUGAAGCUGCAGAAGGAAAGAAAGUUGUUAGAAAAUGGGAAAUUGCAUGGGCCAUGUAAGAUGUCAGGGAGUUAAUAUGCUAGGUAAAUCAGUAAUUGCAUCCUAGUUUUUAAUCUAUGGAAUGACAGUUUGUGUGCUGCUUUUGAAUAAAAAAAAGCUUCAGGAUAGAUACAGAUUUCACUUGUAGUUUAAAUUGCUCUGAGAGUUUCCAUAUAGCCCAAGCAACAUAUCUGUAGGAUACAAAUAUUUCAGACUUGAGGAUUAAACUAUCAGCAAGGAAAUGCAACAUCAUCCAUUGAAAACUUCUGACUUUUUGAUAUUUGGGGUGAUUUUGUUUGUUUGUUUUACUUUUUUUUUCUUUUUUUUUUUUUUUUCUUUUUUUUUUUUUUUUUUUUUUUUUUUCUCCAGAAUGUAUUUAAGUCUUUUCAGUGAAGACUUGAAAAAACUAGAUAGAGACAGAGACUGGCAUCCAGAGAAAAAGCAUAACUGUAACUCUUCCAUUUCCAGGAUUGCCCAGCCAGCAAUUUGGUGCAUCAGUUGCUCUCUCUUGAAUAAAACAGAUGCUUUUUGCACAAGUGACUGGACAUGUUAAUUUAGCCAGAGAUGCUGACAUCACAGUCCUUUGCUUUAUAUAAUUCCAAAGGAAAUGCAGAAUUAAAUCCAUAUUCUGUUAUUGGGAAACAGCUUUCAGGGAAAAAUGGUGGUUUGAUGAACAGGUAUUUUCUCCUUACAAACUAUUUAGCUGAAACUUUGUCACCUCAUAUUGUUCAACCUUUAAGUGUCUUUUCAGCAGUGAGCAGAAUUUGGUAGUAUUUGCUAAACUCCAGUUGUACUGCCAGAAAAGGCACCUCUGCCUCUGGUGAUUUCAGUUGAUAGAUCCUGCUCUGUUCAGAAAAGUAAGUUAAAUGACUUACCCAUCAAAGGACCUGUGAACAUCCCUGCUUGAAUGAAACAAAAUGUUAUUUUAGAGGCUACAAAGAAUGAAAACCAAUCUCACCCACUUCAUUCCUUCCUCCUUCAAAACCCAAAAAUCUUGUAAGUAUGUAUCAAUUUCUAAAUAUUAUAAGGUAAAAAUGUAGUCAAAACAGUUUCUUUAACAGUGCUACAAAGCAACAAUAUUGAAGGGGCUGAAAGCACACCCUGCUUUCCAGCACAAAUAUAACAUCUCCAAAGAGUACGGGGCUGGCUCUCUCUGGGUCUGGGACAACCUGUUAUCCUCUGAUCCCUCUGUGCCACCUUCUUCUAAACUGCACCUAUGGGAAGGAAGAAUUGCCUGCCUGGUUCCACAUUUUUCUACUCUUCUGCUCUUUGUACAUCUGAAAGUCUGUCAGGGUGUUUCUGUGCUUUAGAAGUGGCAAUCAUGGCAUGAAUGAAGAUAUCUUUGUAUGAGAUUGCCACCUGGAAGGCCCCAGUGGCAGCCCUGGAGAGCAGCUGACUUGUACUGGGCCUGAAUUCCACAGUGGUGGGAUGCUGCAAUCAUCAGAGACAGGAACUGAACUGAAACCACUAUUCACAAACUUAUCCAUCUGAAAAGUUGUAUAUCUAUUCAUAAUAUGAUCUUGAUUAAUGCUUUCAUGAACUUUAGGAAAAUAUUGCAUCCUAGAUCAAAUAAGUAAUGUAGAAAAUCCAUGUCUAAAAAUAUUAAGUAAAUUUAAUAAGAAAUGUACAUACCUUCAGCUGUUGCCAUGGGCAGAUAAGAAGUAAUAGGAAGAAAAAAUAAAUUUAUAGUUUCAGUUAUACAAUUAAACAGGAGAGAUUCUGACUCUAAUAAAAAAUUUUUAAAAAUUAAAACUGUUUGAAAACACAACCAGCUAUCUUCAGUAUUUUGUAAUGACAUUUCUUCUCAGUGGUACAACUCAGUAUUGGUAGGUCAAACAGGAACAUACUGAAAGUAAAAAGCUGUUAUAUGGGGCAGCAGAACUGCAAUUUAUUAUGUAUGGGAUAAGAGCUCUAUUUUGAAUGGCUUUGUGCUGUGCCAUACCUAUAUUGCAAAAUGUUACUUACUGUUUUGUGGUUUUCCAGGCAUUUGGAUGAUUAUGUUAAUGCUGACUGGAUGACUGAAUACAUUGAUUUGUGAACUGAGACUUCAGGGAAAUCUCAAUCUUUUUACAACCUGAUAUAUCCUGCCUGAAGAAGAGCUCAUGCAAAUUUUCCCUUUUCAUGUGGAAACAGGUUACUACAUCUAUCCCUAGGCUGAAGUAUGUAGAAAAAUAGUGAUGAGAUUGACAUGACAUCAUAAUCAAAGGAGACUGGGUAUUUGAUCUUACCAGAGAUUGCAAUGAAAUCUAAUUCUUUGGUGAAUUCUUUGAAUGGCUGCUACUGGAAUGUGAGAGUGAAAAAAGGCAACUCUGUACAGCCUGUACCAGUUUCCAUGUCUUACACAACUCUAAAAUGCCUCAGGAGUGUGACAUUGAGCCACUAGUAUCCAAUACAAAAAUAAUAUUCUUGGACAACUUCGGAAGAUUUGUUGGUGCAAAGAAGUGUACAAAAUAGCCAUUGACAAUC